UACGGGGGGGGCAAGCGUUGUUCGGAAUUACUGGGCGUAAAGGGCUCGUAGGCGGCCAACUAAGUCAGACGUGAAAUCCCUCGGCUUAACCGGGGAACUGCGUCUGAUACUGGAUGGCUUGAGUUUGGGAGAGGGAUGCGGAAUUCCAGGUGUAGCGGUGAAAUGCGUAGAUAUCUGGAGGAACACCGGUGGCGAAGGCGGCAUCCUGGACCGAGAUUGACGCUGAGGCGCGAAAGCCAGGGGAGCAAACGGG
rnacentral:rRNA from 1 species